rnacentral:rRNA from 1 species
UACGUAGGGUGCGAGCGUUAAUCGGAAUUACUGGGCGUAAAGCGUGCGCAGGCGGUUCGACAAGUCCGAUGUGAAAGCCCCGGGGCUCAACCUGGGAAUGGCAUUGGAAACUGGCGAGCUUGAGUGUGGCAGAGGGGGGUGGAAUUCCGCGUGUAGCAGUGAAAUGCGUAGAGAUGCGGAGGAACACCGAUGGCGAAGGCAGCCCCCUGGGCUGACACUGACGCUCAGGCACGAAAGCGUGGGGAGCAAACAGG